GGGGGUAUAGCUCAGUUGGUAGAGCGUUUGCUUUGCACGUAAAAAGUCUGGGGUUCGAAUCCUCAUAUCUCCA
rfam:Edhazardia aedis TSNM 41457 supercont1.31, whole genome shotgun sequence.